CAGCCGCCACGGUAAUACGAAGGGGGCUAGCGUUGUUCGGAUUUACUGGGCGUAAAGGGCGCGUAGGCGGACUGAUAAGUCAGGGGUGAAAUCCCAAGGCUCAACCUUGGAACUGCCUUUGAUACUGUUUGUCUUGAGUUCGAGAGAGGUGAGUGGAAUUUCCGGUGUAGCGGUGAAAUGCGUAGAUAUCGGAAGGAACACCUGUGGCGAAAGCGGCUCACUGGACCAUUUCUGACGCUGAUGCACGAAAGCUAGGGGAGCAAACAGGAUUAGAUACCCCAGUAGUCCCUGUCUCUUAUAC
rnacentral:rRNA from 1 species